rnacentral:RNase_P_RNA from 1 species
AGUAGAAUUCUCUGUUAAGGUUAAUAGUUUGCUUAGGAAAGUCCGCCCACCGAGCAAUGGCUGCUCUCUGUAGUGGAGAGAAGGAGAAAUCCUUGUUCCUGGCUCAGAAACGACACGUCCUAUUGAAUGGAAUGAUGAUGGCGAAGUUUGUUGCGAAACAAAUCAGUUAACCCUUUGACGUCUCAAUAGGGAACGAUGAAACGGCGAAUACCAGCCGGUGCAAGUCAGUUUUGACGCUUAGUUGAAUGCUUCCCUGGAUUGUCUGAAUACAGAAUCCAACAAAAGGCGGCUUAUGCUGCUCUACC